AAAUUAGGUCCAGAGAGAAGUCCACAGCUAAAAGAAAAAACGCAACAAAGAGAGAGUUCAACUGUUCGACAAAAUGCCACAAAGAAAGCUCUCUAAAUUCGACCAGCUAUUACAAAUGGAAAUAAGACCAUGUCGUGCGUGAUUACUUUAAAAAACAUCAAAACCAAAAGAAAAGCAAAAAGAACAGCGACUAGCGGCGUAGUAGAGCUCCUAACUUGACUGUAGUAUCAUAAAUAAAAUAAUAACAUGAAAGCACAAGUUCUUCGCUGUGAUAAAAAACCCUUCGUCGCCAGUAUGGAUUGAUAUAUAGUAGAGUAAGCACUCCCAAGAAAAACACAAUAAAAGAUACUGAGAAACUUGCAAAGAAGACCACAUGGUCAAUUUCAUACCAUUUUCUGUCUGCUUCAUGUGGCAACCCUAUUGGCCACAAAUGUAAUCCAUUAUCACCAUCACAGUUCUGUAAUGGUGGUCCACAUAAAAAUGGAUUGCCUUCAUAACUACUAUUGUCGAAGGUACUGAAUUGAGCUUUCAUAUCUGGAAUCCUUCCCGAUAAGUUGUUGUAAGCCACCGAGAAGACUGAUAAAAAGAAUAGAUCAGUAAGCUCUGACGGUAUUUCUCCACUCAAACUGUUGUGAGAAAGGUCCAAGCUCUCUAUUUGAGUUAGCUUUGCAAAAGUCCUUGGAACUGGACCUGUCAAUUGAUUGUGAGACAAAUUCAGGGCAUGAAUCCACGAUAAAUUUCCUAGUUCAGGCGGGAUUUCACCUAUCAGGUUAUUGCAUGACAAGUCCAGCCCCGACAAGUAAUUGAGAAUCUCACCCCUGUAGAUGCCUCGUCUAUUUUUCGUGACAAACUCAAUUUCAACUCGUAAAAUGGAGCUACCAUUCAACAUGCCUUCUUCCGUGCCUGCAUAGUGUUUAUUUGGAUAAACAUAUAUCCAAGUCCAAAAUGGCAGGUAAAUUGACGUUUCAGCAAUUGACUGAUAAUUAGGCCUCAUCUUCCCAAAGGUGAUAUUGUAGAAGCAGCGGGGUAUUGACCCAGAAAAAGCGUUGCUCGAAAGAUCCAUUAAGCUUAUGUUUUGCAACUGACACAAUUGCUUUGGAAUAGAGCCACUCAAAUUGUUUCCUCCCAAUAGAAGAACCCUUAAAUUGGAAAGUUCAGCAAUCAUGUUGGGAAUUUUUCCAGACAACCUGUUAUCUCUAACAUUCAAUGCCAAUAGAUUAGAUGAAUUGAGCAAGGCCUCUGGCAGUGAUCCUGUAAAGUUGUUCUCUUGCAGAUGUAUUUGCUCUAAAUUUCCUGUGUUCGAGCAAGAAGGUAGUGAUCCCGAAAGAAAGUUAUGAGAUAGAUCUAAAUACGCAACAGAAAAUGGUUCACAAGUAAGCUCUCCUUCAAAAGAGUUGUUCCGCAUAUCAAGUAUCUGCAGCCAUGUCAAGUUACCAAUCCAUCUGGGAAUCUUCCCUGACAUAUAAUUGUUGCUGAUGUCAAAUAAAGACAGUGAAACUGAUUUGAAUGAUUUUAUAUUUGUCAGACUUCCUGUAAAUUUGUUGUCACUCAACCGCAAGGCCUCCAACACACUCCAUUGGUAAUGAGUUGAGAAAAAUUCCCCAUGAAAGUUGUUGUUGGAUAAGUCUAAAACAUCCAAAUUGGUGCAACGUGCAGUAAAUCCUACUUCCCCAGAGAAAUUGUUGAAAGAAAGGUCCAACUCCUUCAAGUUUGUAAUAUCACAAAUGGAAGCAGGAAGACUACCGUCAAAAGCAUUUUUGGAUAAAUUAAGAGAUAUCAAAUGAGGAAAUUGUUUUCCAACAUUUUCUUGCAGCUGCCCUUCAAUUUGAUUGUCUGAGAGAUCCACAUGAAUAGCUUUCUCCAAAGGAUAGGGCUGUAUGUGAAACUGACCUAUCAAGGAGUUAUUCCUGAGACUCAGGAAUUCAAGUCUAGUAUUAUUUGCAAGUAACCAAGCAGGAAAUCUUUCUUUCAACUUAUUGUGAGAGAGAUCAAUUACUUUCAGUUGCCACUGGUGAAGAAGAAACUGAGGAAUUUUCUUGUUCAGAUUGCAGUUAGACAGUACAAGGACCUUCAAUUGAAAGUUUGGAACCCAAACUGCAUCUUCAGUUUCUAUUUCAAACUUGUCAUUGUCACUUACGAAUUUUACCACGUCCAGCUUGGAAUGAUUGCCAAAUGAGCUGAAUGAGAAUGAACCCAUAAAUUGAUUAUGACUUAGAUCAAUGUAUUCGAGGGACCUCAGACCAGCUAUCACAUAUGACGAAACAUUUCCAUUGAACUUGUUUUGCGAGAGAUCUAACACUCUAAGGGAUGUCAAAUUUUGGAGGCAUGGAGGAAGGGAACCUUCAAAUUUAUUGUAACUGAGAUCUACCUCCUGAAGUCUAUUUAAUGCACAAAGUCCUUGGACUAGCAAAGUUCCAUUGAGUGAAUUAUCUUCCAAAAUAAGCAGCUCCAACUUGCUUAAAUUAGAAAUUUCAUGGAGAGGAAGAGGCCCUUCCAAGGAAUUGGAAGAGAGAUCUAUAUAUUUGAGAGAUGAUAGUCUACCCAAUAACCUGAAACUGACUUUCUGAAUGUAAUUUCCCCUUAUAUCUAGAUACUCUAGCCCGCUCAGAUUUGAUAAAUUUGGGAAACCUUGUUUAGGAUAGAUACCAAACGCGUUUUGUGAUAGAAUUAGUUUCUUAAGGGAUGUGAGUCCACCCAGUGAUGGCAUGAUGCUUUCAUCCAAGCUGUUAUGACUAAGAUCCAAAAUCUCUAGCUUUUCCAGUCUUGCCAAGCUUUCAGAACCAGCUUCAAAUCCAUUGUAAGAUAAAUUAAGGAUUCUGAGCUCUUUCAGUGGCUG
rnacentral:misc_RNA from 1 species